UACGUAUGGGGCGAGCGUUGUCCGGAAUUAUUGGGCGUAAAGGGUACGUAGGCGGUUUAGAAAGUCAGAUGUUAAAGCGUGAGGCUCAACCUCAUAAAGCAUUUGAAACUUCUAGACUUGAGUAGUGGAGAGGAAAGUGGAAUUCCAUGUGUAGCGGUGAAAUGCGUAGAUAUAUGGAGGAACACCAGUGGCGAAGGCGACUCUCUGGUCUGUAACUGACGCUGAGGCUCGAAAGCGUGGGGAGCGAACAGG
rnacentral:rRNA from 1 species